GGGCUUGUAGCUCAGUUGGGAGAGCGCCGCGUUCGCAACGCGGAGGUCAUGGGUUCGAGCCCCACCAGGUCCACCA
rnacentral:tRNA from 1 species